GACGAACGCUGGCGGCGUGCUUAACACAUGCAAGUCGAACGGAAAGGCCCUGCUUUUGUGGGGUGCUCGAGUGGCGAACGGGUGAGUAACACGUGAGUAACCUGCCCUUGACUUUGGGAUAACUUCAGGAAACUGGGGCUAAUACCGGAUAGGAGCUCCUGCUGCAUGGUGGGGGUUGGAAAGUUUCGGCGGUUGGGGAUGGACUCGCGGCUUAUCAGCUUGUUGGUGGGGUAGUGGCUUACCAAGGCUUUGACGGGUAGCCGGCCUGAGAGGGUGACCGGCCACAUUGGGACUGAGAUACGGCCCAGACUCCUACGGGAGGCAGCAGCGGGGGAUAUUGCACAAUGGGCGGAAGCCUGAUGCAGCAACGCCGCGUGCGGGAUGACGGCCUUCGGGUUGUAAACCGCUUUCGCCUGUGACGAAGCGUGAGUGACGGUAAUGGGUAAAGAAGCACCGGCUAACUACGUG
rnacentral:rRNA from 1 species